rnacentral:misc_RNA from 1 species
UCCGGUUUGUCACCGGCAGUCUGGCGCGAGUCCCCAACUUAAUGAUGGCAACACGCCACGGGGGUUGCGCUCGUUGCGGGACUUAACCCAACAUCUCACGACACGAGCUGACGACAGCCAUGCACCACCUGUACACCGACCACAAGGGGGACCCUGUCUCCAGGGUUUUCCGGUGUAUGUCAAGCCUUGGUAAGGUUCUUCGCGUUGCGUCGAAUUAAAGAACAUGCUCCGCUGCUUGUGCGGGCCCCCGUCAAUUCUUUUGAGUUUUAGCCUUGCGGCCGUACUCCCCAGGCGGGUCACUUAAUGCGUUAGCUUCGGCACGGGAGGAGUCGACACCUCCCACACCUAGUGACCAUCGUUUACGGCGUGGACUAC